rnacentral:rRNA from 1 species
AUUGAACGAUGGCGGCAGGCCUAACACAUGCAAGUCGAACGAGUGGCGGACGGGUGAGUAAUGUCUGGGAAACUGCCUGAUGGAGGGGGAUAACUACUGGAAACGGUAGCUAAUACCGCAUACCAUCGGAUGUGCCCAGAUGGGAUUAGCUAGUAGGUGGGGUAAAGGCUCACCUAGGCGACGAUCCCUAGCUGGUCUGAGAGGAUGACAAGACAAACGGGAACGGAGACACGGUCCAGACUCCUACGUGAGGCAGCAGUGGGGAAUAGUGCACAAUGGGCGCAAGCCUGAUGGAGCCACGCGGCGGGUAUGAAGAAGGCCUGCGGGUUGUAAAGUACUUUCAGCGGGGAGGCGUGACCCGCAGAAGAAGCACCGGCUAACUCCGUGCCAGGAGCCGCGGUAAUAC